CUCAUUGAUCUAUCUUGAAAGCUGAGCAGGGUUAGGCCAGGUUAGUCCUUGGAUGGAAGACAACUUGGGAGUACUUGGUGGGAUGGGC
rnacentral:rRNA from 1 species